rnacentral:rRNA from 1 species
UGGGGAAUAUUGCACAAUGGGCGCAAGCCUGAUGCAGCCAUGCCGCGUGUAUGAAGAAGGCCUUCGGGUUGUAAAGUACUUUCAGCGGGGAGGAAGGGAGUAAAGUUAAUACCUUUGCUCAUUGACGUUACCCGCAGAAGAAGCACCGGCUAACUCCGUGCCAGCAGCCGCGGUAAUACGGAGGGUGCAAGCGUUAAUCGGAAUUACUGGGCGUAAAGCGCACGCAGGCGGUUUGUUAAGUCAGAUGUGAAAUCCCCGGGCUCAACCUGGGAACUGCAUCUGAUACUGGCAAGCUUGAGUCUCGUAGAGGGGGGUAGAAUUCCAGGUGUAGCGGUGAAAUGCGUAGAGAUCUGGAAGAAUACCGGUGGCGAAGGCGGCCCCCUGGACGAAGACUGACGCUCAGGUGCGAAAGCGUGGUGAGCAAACAGG